AUAAAAAGUUUAAUCUAUCAAAAAUAAUUAACAUCAUUAUAUAAUAUAUAAAGUUUAAAAAAAUCUCAAAAAAAAUUUCGUCAUAUUUUGUAAUUCGAAAUUUUAAGAAUGAACAUAUAUUAACCAAUUGGCGAAAAAUGUGUGGGUACAACGUCCCGCAACGACUAAAAUAUUUUGACAAUGAUUCAUAAACAUAUUAUAAAUAAGAUCAACAUUAAUAAAAUAAAUAGUUUUUUUUUGUGGACGGGUUUGGCAGGACGGGUUUGGCAGGACGUUACUUAGUAACAAUGGUAAACUAUAAAAUAAUUUACAAAUUUUUAUAUAUAUUAAUUUUUAAAAAUGAACUGUGUCCGCGGUGUACCGCGGGUUAAAAUCUAGUAACAUGUAUUUUUGCUCAUAUAAUAUUAGUUUGCUACUAAUUCAUAUAACCUGAUCAAAGUAUCAUAUUAUGUUUU
rnacentral:sRNA from 1 species